UAGGGAAUCUUCGGCAAUGGACGAAAGUCUGACCGAGCAACGCCGCGUGAGUGAAGAAGGUUUUCGGAUCGUAAAACUCUGUUGUUAGAGAAGAACAAGGACGUUAGUAACUGAACGUCCCCUGACGGUAUCUAACCAGAAAGCCACGGCUAACUACGUGCCAGCAGCCGCGGUAAUACGUAGGUGGCAAGCGUUGUCCGGAUUGAUUGGGCGUAAAGCGAGCGCAGGCGGUUUCUUAAGUCUGAUGUGAAAGCCCCCGGCUCAACCGGGGAGGGUCAUUGGAAACUGGGAGACUUGAGAGCAGAAGAGGAGAGUGGAAUUCCAUGUGUAGCGGUGAAAUGCGUAGAUAUAUGGAGGAACACCAGUGGCGAAGGCGGCUCUCUGGUCUGUAACUGACGCUGAGGCUCGAAAGCGUGGGGAGCAAACAGG
rnacentral:rRNA from 1 species